AGUUAAACUUUUCCUGGUGGGAAAUAAGAAUGAUCUGGAAGACAAAAUCCCCAAAGACAAGGUUCGGAGAUUUGCACAGGAACAUAAAAUACAGUCAGUUUUCAAACUGUCAGCUAAAACAGGAAAAAAUGUAGAGGAGAGCUUGCAGAAAAUUGUGGAAUCUUCCUUUCCUGAGACAAAACUACCAGAUGUGAUACCUCUUGAAUCAUGUGAGACUUCAGGUUCAGGGUUAUGUCACUGCUGACCUCUCUACCAUCAACGUGAAGAGAAAAGUUGAGGAGUCACAGAUUGUUACAUAUUAUCCACCUAAAAGAUGGCAAAAAGACUUUAGCGCAUGUAGACCUGGGACUCAAGAAAUUGCAUUCACAGAAGUACUCAAGUAUGCAGAUUAUGGAUAUGCUGUUCUUCAUGAAGGACAACAUCUCUAAGCCAUAUUUUACACGGGAUGCUAAGAAGUUGCUGAAUUCUGGAAAACUUCCUACAAAAUCCAGCAGCAUUUGCCAAUAAGUAAAAUCGGUGGUAGUAUUAUAGUUAACGGAACUUCACAUCAUUAAAUCUACAUUCUUAAAGCCAAAAGUUUCAAAUGCAGCAUUCUAUACAUGUGAAAAGGGCAAUCACAAAAUAUUUCCAUGUCCUUUCCUUAGAAUCACUGCUGAUCAUAGAAUAAGAAUAUACAUGUUCGACUGGGGUUAGGAAUAUGUUCUCCAUAUUCAGAAUGCUUAAACUGCAUCUGUUGACUUUUUGGUGCAUACUGAAAGCUAAUUGUUUUUUACCAGUUAGCUUUAACAUAAUUCUUCACAGGAACACGAUUUAAUGAACCUAGCAUCUCCAAAAAGUAGUACAUCCAAGUCUCUUCCAUUUAUAAAAUGCAUAUAAUAUGUUUCAUUUUUUUUUCUUUGGUACAUACAGAAAGCUAAUUGUUUUUCACCAUUUACCUUUCACAUAAUUCCUCUGAAAAACAGGAUUUGAUGAACCUAGCUUUUUUAAGACAUCCAGUGUCUACAUCCAAGUGAGUUCAGAUAAAGGAACCCCACCAUCUCUCUGACUUUUUGCCUCUGGUGGCAUUACAAGUUUAUAUGAGGACAUUCCUGUCCUGGCACUAUCCACAAAUUGUAUGAACAGAGACAUUUAUUCAGUGUUUAUGGACAUGGACAAAAUACAGUCAUGCACAGUGAUAGCCUGAGUAAACAGCACAAAAUAGUAUAGUAAUAUACAUAUAUAUUUAAAUGGUCCAGUGAUUGUAGGUAAGUCACGGUUAUUAAACAGACAAAAUACAUUUACAUAUUCACAUCAGUAGCCUUCCACUUUACAAUAUAAGUAUAAUCAUUACAUUAAUUCACAUACAUAUUAGUGAUUUCUUCUACUCUAUAAAUAUGAUCCAUCAUUAAUUAGUUAGGAACUCUUUAAGCUGCAAUCUUAACAUUAAUCAAAAAGAAACCUUUUAGUGGUUGCAGAGCUAAACACCAUAACUUCCUUUUGCAUUUUCAGAUAACUAGUAAACUGUCCAAAAACAUAGUGCAUUAUAUGUAGAUGUCAUUUUUGUUGUAAUGUUUAUUUUACCACUGUUUCUCUAUUGUCGGCAUAGCUCUGUAAAGGGGCUUACCUACCAACAAUACCUAAGGGUAAAUGUUACCAGACCAAUGUCAGUAUGAGUGUUUUGCAUCACUGUACCAUUUAUGAAGUCUGGCUCCAGCCUCAUUUAUGAAGUCUGGCUCCAGCCUCAUAUCUGUACUUGUCAUGUACGCAUUCAUUGCUUCGACAUUCUAUCAGCCUCCUCUGGAGAAGCAAGGGUUAGGAGAUACAGCCUGGGUAAUCACAGUGUGGCCGGUCCUGAGUUUAUUCUUUUAAUCCCUAACUUAUUCACCUAUGUAUCAGGAAUUUUAAAAUGCAUGCUGCUGCAUGCUAGUGAAUGAGAUCCCCGAGGGGUCUCCUUACUGAUUUUAAUUCACCAAAGGUCAAGCCCUUGUUCACUCCACUUGAGGGUGACUCUGCAAAACAAUCCCAUUCCUUCUCUUUUAAGAAAAGAUAACAUGACUCUGCCCAACCACUCCUUCCUGCCAGGACAGCCUGACAGCAACUUGGACCUUAGCUGUACUUGGGUCACCGGCAAUGUGGGUGAAUACCCUGCAUUUAUGACAGUAGACUGUCAUGCCGUCAUGAGGUGUCAUAAAUAAGAGAAGCUGUCUGAAGUUAGUUAACUGCUUUGUACAACUAUGACUAGUACAGCAGCAUUUCUGUAACUUUUUCUAUCUUUGUGAACUAAUGUUCCCUUUAUGAAGAAAUUCACAUUGAAAAAUCAGAUAAGUUAUCUUAACAUUUGCUUCAUGUAGUUAAUGACAAGUUGUUAUUAUAACUGUGCAUAUCCUUACAUGUCAUGGCUAAUGGCUUUCUACCUGCCAGCUACAAAGGUUUCAUUGUUACUAACCAGUUCAGAAAGAACUAAGGCAGAGACCCAAAAAUUAUUCAUUAGCCCUUAAAAUGCAUUCCUUAUAGGAACCUAGAAAACCAAACCUGCCUUCUCUGUGUAUGAGAAUAGCAUUUAAAUUAUUUGUAUCUGUUUUGUUCCUGUGAUAACACACACCUAACAGUGCCAGCUUCGUUAAGAUGAUGGAUUCUCUGACUGCUUAUUUUGCCCAUAUAGUAAGCUGUCUUUCUGUAGCUGGUGCCUAGAAAUAUAUAUUCCUUGUAUAACAAUAAAACUGACUUUGAAUUAGUCUAAAAAGAA